GCCGAACUGAAUCAUCUUAGUAGGUUGAGGAAAAGAGAAUAAACAAUGAUUCCGAAAGUAGUGGCGAGCGAAAUUGGAACAGCCCAAACCUUAACAUAACCAUACGGUUUAACGGCCAGAGUUAUGAAAGGGGUUGAGAAAUUAGAUAAUUUUUAUGUAUAGCAGUUGAAUAAAAUCGAAGCCUACUCACUUUUAAGGACUAUCAGCUUGGGCAAACGCCCUUGAGUGCGUCCGAAAAAGUGAGUAGGCGACGAUUCGACAGUUAUACAUAAAAACCAACAUCGUUAAAUGAGUGGAUAAUGAUAAAAUCCUUUAGAUCAUAGCAGAAGUGUUUGAAUGGCACACCAAAGAAGGUGAGAGUCCUGUACGCGAAAUGGUCUUAGGCAUUAUAUAUCUUUUUUCAAGUAGGACGGGGCACGAGAAACCCUGUUUGAAUCCGGCAGGACCACCUGCCAAGGCUAAAUAUAUUGAUUGAUCGAUAGCGAACUAGUACAGUGAUGGAAAGGUGAAAAGAACCCCGGGAGGGGAGUGAAAUAGAUCCUGAAACUUAGUGCCUACAAGGUGUCGGAGCAGCUUCGGCUGUGACGGCGUGCUUUUUGUAGAACGAUCCAGCGAGUUAAUGUUGUCGGCGAGGCUAAGUCAAAUGAUGGAGCCACAGUGAAAGCGAGCCUUAACAGGGCGAACAGUCGGCAGUAUUAGACCCGAAACCGGGUGACCUAACCAUGAGCAGGUUGAAGCUGCAGUAACAUGCAGUGGAGGACCGAACCAGGACACGCAGUAAAGUGUUUGGAUGACUUGUGGUUAGCGGUGAAAUGCCAAUCGAACUCGGAGAUAGCUGGUUCUCCUCGAAAUAGCUUUAGGGCUAGCGUCGUGUUAGUAGCACAUGGGGGUAGAGCUCUGUAAAGGACUGGGGCGGGCAACUGUACUCACCCUUAACAAACUACGAAUACCAUGUGUGUAAUCACGGCAGUUAGAACAUCGGUGCUAAGAUCGGUGCUCAAAAGGGAAACAGCCCAGACCAUCAUCUAAGGUCCCUAAAUUAACGUUCAGUGGGAAACAAGGUGAGAUUUCUUAAACAGCUAGGAUGUUGGCUUAGAAGCAGCCAUUCAUUUAAAGAGUGCGUAACAGCUCACUAGUCAAGAGAUUUUGCGUGGAAAAUGUAACGGGGCUAAAGUGUUAAACCGAAGACAUGGACUUCUGCUUAUGCAGGAGUGGUAGAGGAGCGUUGAUAUCGCAGUGAAGUCAGAUUGUAAAGUCUGGUGGAGCGUUAUCAAGUGAGAAUGCUGGAAUCAGUAACCUUAAGACAGGUGAGAAUCCUGUCGGUCGUAAGAGCAAGGUUUCCAGGGCCACAGUAAUUGUCCCUGGGUUAGUCGGUCCUAAGCCGAGGCGUAUCAGCGUAGGCGAUGGACAACAGGUUAAUAUUCCUGUACAGGUAGUAGUUGUGAACAGUUCACGGUGAAUGACCGGAGCGGAUUAAUGGUUUAUCCGUCCAAGUCUCUAGGGAACUAGAGAUGAGUGAAAGGUAAUCUUCGGAUUAUUAAUUCAGGGUGAAGCACUGGCUAGAAAAGCUGGUUCACUUAUGCUGCUGCCUACCGUACCGCAAACCAACACCGGUGCUCGGGUCGAGUAGACCAAGACCUACGUGAGAACCUUCGCUAAGGAACUCGGCAAAAAAGCGUCCGUAACUUCGGAAUAAGGACUGCCCUCUCAUUAAGAUGAGGAUUUGCUAGAAACUCAGCAGAAGAUUCAGCUAAUAAUAUUUGGUUAUUUAAAAUUACAUUUUUGAGACCAUAAGCAUGGGCGAGCGCCCUUGAGCGCGUCGAAAAAAUGUAAUUAAAUAUUUACCUUAAUACUGAAUUUUUUCGUUGAGACAGAACACAAAUCAGGAUUUGUUUUAGCAAAUUCGUGUCUUUUCUAGUAGUCUAAUCGUCAUUUUGAUGAGAGGGCCGCAGCUAAAGAGCCCACGGAACUGUUUACCAAAAACAUAGGUCUCUGCUAACGCGAAAGCGGAUGUAUAGGGGCUGACUCCUGCCCGGUGUCGGAAGGUUAAGGGGAGAGCUUUACGGUUCGAACUGAAGCCCCGAUGAACGGCGGCGAUAACUAUGAUCGUCCUAAGGUAGCGAAAUUCCUUGUCUGGUAAGUUCAGACCCGCACGAAUGGAGUAAUCAUGUGGGCACUGUCUCGGCGAAGGCCACGGUGAACGUGCAUUGGCGGUAAAGAUGCCGUCUGAUCAUGCCAGGACGAGAAGACCCCAUGGAGCUUUACUACAACUUUGCAUUGAUUAUUGGGACAUUUUGUGUAGAAUAGGUGGAAGACUUUGAAGCAGAUACGCUAGUAUUUGUGGAGUCGAAAUGUGAAAUACCACCCUGAAUGUUUUAGUAAUCUCACUUUUGACCUGAUCGGCCAAAAGGACCGUGCAUGGCGGGUAGUUUAACUGGGGCGGUUGCCUCCUAAAGAGUAGCGGAGGCGUUCAAAGGU
rnacentral:rRNA from 1 species